AUGUCAUCCCAGAAGACCGGCAGGCAGGGCGGCUGCAGAAGGGCCUGGGGUCCCCGCGGGGCGUCUGCCGCGGCUGCUGCUCCUGGGCCUGGGGUGAAAUACAGUGUCUGGGCCUGGAAACCCGGUCCGGACGCUGGGGGACACUUCCUGGCCCUUCCGAGACACGGUUCCUUCUCGGGAGAUGCUAAAGCGGGACUUUGCAUCCUGCAUUUCCGCUUCGGGUGGAAAACACGGCAAAACUUGCCCAGAAAGUCCGUGCCCCGGGCCGCUGACCGCCCCCGCCCCGCCCCGGCCCGGCCCGGCCCGGCCCGCAGCACCCGCGCCCCGAGGCCCCUCGAAGCGGUGAGGCCGGGACACAAAGGACAAGGAGCCGGCGCGCAGGUGGGCUCGGCGGGAGGGCAGGGCCGGGCCGCGCGGCGACCCCCGGGCCGCGGGCCCCCCGACCCGCCCCCGACCCGCCCCCGACCCGACCCGGGGCGCCCGCCCGCCCGCCGCUCACCUGGCCGCCGCCGUCCCCGCCGUCCCCGCCCGAGCCCGAGCCCGAGCCCGAGCCCGCCGCCGACCGAGGGGCGGGGCCGCGGGGGGCGGGGUCGCUCCGCGCCCACAAAGGGUCGCCAGGCGCCGGCCGCCCCGCACGCUGAUUGGCCGAGCGCGGGGGCGGGGCCUCCGGUUCAAACCGCGGGCGGGGCCUGGCGCGAGACUUCCCGCGCGGACGCGUCGGCCGUUGGGGCCCGGCGCUGGCCACACCCCCGCCCGCCCCGCCCGCUCCCAGGUCUCCGCGCGCGGCCCCGGCGCGCCUGCGCAGGAGCGGGGGGGGGAGGGGGGAGGGGAGGGGAGGGGGAAGGGAGGGAGGGGAGAGGAGGGGAGGGAAGGAGGGGGAAAGGGAGGAGAGGGGAGGACGAGGAGGGGGGGAGGGCAAGGAGGGAAGGGGAGGAGGGGGAGGGGGAAACGGAGGGGAGGGGAGGGGAGAGGUGGGGAGGGAGGAGGGGGAAAGGGAGGAGAGGAAGGGAAAAGGGGAGGGGGGAGGGAGAGAGGGGAAAGGAGGAGGAGGGGAGGGCAGGAGGGGGAGGGUAA
rnacentral:lncRNA from 1 species